rnacentral:rRNA from 1 species
UAGUCCACGCCGUAAACGAUGAGUGCUAGGUGUUGCGGGUAUUGACCCCUGCAGUGCCACAGCUAACGCAUUAAGCACUCCGCCUGGGGAGUACGGUCGCAAGAUUAAAACUCAAAGGAAUUGACGGGGACCCGCACAAGCGGUGGAGCAUGUGGUUUAAUUCGACGCAACGCGCAAAACCUUACCUGGAUUUAAACUGGUGUGGACCGGUAUAGAGAUAUACUUUCCCUUCGGGGCUGCAUUAGAGGUGCUGCAUGGCUGUCGUCAGCUCGUGUCGUGAGAUGUUGGGUUAAGUCCCGCAACGAGCGCAACCCUCGCCGAUAGUUGCCAUCAUUUAGUUGGGCACUCUAUUGGGACUGCCGGUGUUAAACCGGAGGAAGGUGGGGAUGACGUCAAAUCAUCAUGGCCUUUAUGCCUAGGGCUACACACGUGCUACAAUGGACGGUACAGAGGGUCGCUAACCCGCGAGGGGGUGCUAAUCUCAGAAAGCCGUUCCCAGUUCGGA